UACGUAGGGGGCAAGCGUUGUCCGGAUUCAUUGGGCGUAAAGCGUCCGCAGGCGGCACUUCAAGUCUGUCGUCAAAGACUGGGGCUUAACCCUGGAAAGGCGGUGGAAACUGAAGCGCUAGAGUGCGGUAGGGGUAGAGGGAAUUCCCGGUGUAGCGGUGAAAUGCGUAGAGAUCGGGAAGAACAUCGGUGGCGAAAGCGCUCUACUGGACCGCAACUGACACUCAGGGACGAAAGCUAGGGGAGCGAAUGGG
rnacentral:rRNA from 1 species